GACGAACGCUGGCGGCGUGCUUAACACAUGCAAGUCGAACGGAAAGGCCCUGCUUUUGUGGGGUUCUCGAGUGGCGAACGGGUGAGUAACACGUGAGUAACCUGCCCUUGACUUUGGGAUAACUUCACGAAACUGGGGCUAAUACCGGAUAGGAGCUCCUGCUGCAUGGUGGGGGUUGGAAAGUUUCGGCGGUUGGGGAUGGACUCGCGGCUUAUCAGCUUGUUGGUGGGGUAGUGGCUUACCAAGGCUUUGACGGGUACCCGGCCUGAGAGGGUGACCGGCCACAUGGGGACUGAGAUACGGCCCAGACUCCUACGGGAGGCAGCAGGGGGGAAUAUUGCACAAUGGGCGGAAGCCUGAUGCAGCAACGCCGCGUGCGGGAUGACGGCCUUCGGGUUGUAAACCGCUUUCGCCUGUGACGAAGCGUGAGUGACGGUAAUGGGUAAAGAAGCACCGGCUAACUACGUG
rnacentral:rRNA from 1 species